AUUGAACGCUGGCGGCAGGCCUAACACAUGCAAGUCGAGCGGUAACAGGAAGCAGCUUGCUGCUUCGCUGACGAGUGGCGGACGGGUGAGUAAUGUCUGGGAAACUGCCUGAUGGAGGGGGAUAACUACUGGAAACGGUAGCUAAUACCGCAUAACGUCGCAAGACCAAAGAGGGGGACCUUAGGGCCUCUUGCCAUCGGAUGUGCCCAGAUGGGAUUAGCUAGUAGGUGGGGUAACGGCUCACCUAGGCGACGAUCCCUAGCUGGUCUGAGAGGAUGACCGGCCACACUGGAACUGAGACACGGUCCAGACUCCUACGGGAGGCAGCAGUGGGGAAUAUUGCACAAUGGGCGCAAGCCUGAUGCAGCCAUGCCGCGUGUAUGAAGAAGGCCUUCGGGUGGUAAAGUACUUUCAGCGGGGAGGAAGGGAGUAAAGUUAAUACCUUUGCUCAUUGACGUUACCCGCAGAAGAAGCACCGGCUAACUCCGU
rnacentral:rRNA from 1 species